UGAACGCUGGCGGCGUGCUUAACACAUGCAAGUCGAACGAGAACCCUUUAGCUUGCUAAAGAUAGUAAAGUGGCGUACGGGUGAGUAACGCGUGGGUAAUCUACCUCCGAAUUGGGGAUAACAUUGCGAAAGCGAUGCUAAUACCGAAUAAUAUCUUUGAAGUUUCGGCUUUUAAGAUCAAAGGUGGUCUCUACAUGUAAGCUACUGUUUGGAGAUGAGCCCGCGUACCAUUAGCUUGUUGGUAGGGUAAUGGCCUACCAAGGCUACGAUGGUUAGCUGGUCUGAGAGGAUGAUCAGCCACACUGGAACUGACACACGGUCCAGACUCCUACGGGAGGCAGCAGUGAGGAAUUUUGCGCAAUGGGGGAAACCCUGACGCAGCAACGCCGCGUGAGUGAUGAAGGCUUUCGGGUCGUAAAGCUCUGUCAAGUGGGAAGAAACUGGAAGAUGCAAAUACCAUCUUUCACUGACGGUACCACUGAAGGAAGCACCGGCUAACUCC
rnacentral:rRNA from 1 species